UCACCUCCCCCACUCUGUGCAGUGUCGCAGUGGCCGAGGAACAAUGCACAGUCAAGCCAACCUCCGUCUGGUUUCCAGGAAGCUACAAUGCACCAGCUGUUGACCCCAAUGCACCAAACUCAGAAGGGAUUGAUGAUUCGUAACUCCAAACGCAAG